ACUCCUACGGGAGGCAGCAGUGGGGAAUAUUGCACAAUGGGCGCAAGCCUGAUGCAGCCAUGCCGCGUGUGUGAAGAAGGCCUUCGGGUUGUAAAGCACUUUCAGUCGUGAGGAAGGUAGUGUAGUUAAUAGCUGCAUUAUUUGUACGUUAGCGACAGAAGAAGCACCGGCUAACUCCGUGCCAGCAGCCGCGGUAAUACGGAGGGUGCGAGCGUUAAUCGGAAUUACUGGGCGUAAAGCGCAUGCAGGUGGUUGUUAAGUCAGAUGUGAAAGCCCGGGGCUCAACCUCGGAAUAGCAUUUGAAACUGGCAGACUAGAGUACUGGUAGAGGGGGUAGGAAUUUCAGGUGUAGCGGUGAAAUGCGUAGAGAUCUGAAGGAAUACCGGU
rnacentral:rRNA from 1 species